UGAGAUUUCUUUGUUAGCAGCUAUCAGACAUAGCUUUCCUUAAUUAAAGAGUCUGAACACUAAACUACAAAUAGAAGAGAUUGGAGGAAUUGUGGUCUGGUCUCAUCUCUAGAAAUAUGUCUUCAAUAGCAGAGAAAGGAAUUAUCAAGAGAAAAUAGAAAACUGCAAUACUUUGAAAGUUCCAUUAGGCUUUUUUUUUUUUUUAGAUUGAAAUAAAUGAUAGAGAAGGGUCUCCCAUCCAAGUACUAACCAGGCCUGACCCAGUUUAGCUUCUGAGAUAAAAUAUUAGCAGAAUUUUUGCUGAGACAUAAAAUUGAUGAAAUGCUACUCAGAAUAAUGGGGAAUGUAAGGAAGGAAGAAUAAACCAGAGAGGUUUGGUUAAGGUUAGUCAUACUAUUUAUGGCAGUAAUUUUCCUUUUAACAGUUGUCAUAAAAGCUUUUUUUUUUUUUUUUAACAAAUAGUGUAGAAACAACAUAUUUUUUUUUAACUUUCAAAGUCACAGGCAGUGUGUGAAGGAAGCAGCUUGGCUGUGAACUUGAAGCACUCCGUCAUCUGCUGCCUGCUGGUGCUGCUUCUGGGUUUUCCCUCCAGAAAAACCACAAAGGCGAGGAGUGGUGCAAAAAAACAGAGCAUCUUCAGCAGGUGAUCUGAAGAUUUUACAGCUAGAAACUGGAGCUAGAAAAUCCAGAGAAUUCAAGCUGUGUUGUUUUAAACAUGGUGGUAUCUUGAGCUACACUUAAAAGCUGAUUACUGUUAACUGAAUUCCAGGAUUGUAAUUUAUUUCAGAAGGUGUUUCUCCAGUAUCCAGUGUCUUCAACAAACGAAAAAGGCCAGCAGCUUCUCGUAUCCUACUGAAUUCAAUACAGAAUGCCUGCACUUCUAUAAACAAGUCCUGCACAUUAAUAAUUUUGUUACGGAUCAAGGACUGGAGAAAGACACACACAAGACGCACCAAACGAUUCUGGGGGGAAAAAAAAUAAAUUAGUGUACCCGUUUUCUUGGCAGAGUAAAAUGACCAAAGCUGGAAAAGCAGAACAAAGAUCCAGAGAGCCAAGACUCCUUGGAUCUAAAACACUUCCUACUGCUGGCUCCUGUUGACAGGAUCAUUUAUUGUUUAUCAUGUGGAAUAUUAAAGACAAAAUGCUUACAAUAAAUAUAUACCUGUGUUUGUUGAGGAGAA